UCUUCAGUAUAGUUUCAAGCCAUGACAUCAUAAUAGAUAGGGCACCUGACCACUUCAAAGUGAAGGCUCUUCAAUUUCCAAAUCUCCACCUCUACCUAUUCAGGAUGAGGUAUGAUGAUGCUGAAGAGGAGUGAGGUCAUCUCUACUCGUCAGAAAAGCAGGCCCCGACUUCACCGCUAUCCCAUGAGAAGGUGGGCGUCACUGGGCAGGCAUCACAGGGAGAGACCACACUCUGCACCUUCCUCAACACCCUGGUAUCUGUUACUAAAGUCCUGAGAUGAUGGGGUCAUCAUCACCUGUUUCAUGGCUUUUGGUACAAACAAGGUGGGUCAGUGACGCCCACCUCUGUGCUCUCAACUUUCCUUUCUCCCAAGUGCAGAGGACACCCCUCCUGUUGGGCACGAUCCUACUAAAUGGGUUAAAGGUGGGGCGAUUCUGGAGACUGAAAGGCCUUCACUCUGAAGUGGUCAGGUGCCACAUCUAUUAUGAUGUCAUGGCUUGAAAUUAACUGAACAAAGGAGGUUUGGCCCACCUUGAAGUACUUCUAGCCAACAUUCCCUGUUUUCCAAUAAAGCACAGAUAUGCAAAUAA